CGACCACCGAGAUCUACACUCUUUCCCUACACGACGCUCUUCCGAUCUCUGAUCUGGUAGUAGCCAAGCGAUGGGGUGACGCAGGAAGGUAGCUGUGCCAGGUAGUGGAUUGCCUGGUGUAAGCGUGUAGGGUGACAGGUUGGUAAAUCCGCUUGUUGUGUACCUGAGACGUGAUGCGUAGCCAUUGUGGUGAAGUUAGUGAUCCUAUGCUGCCGAGAAAAGCCUCUAGUGAGUUCUUAUGCGGCCCGUACCCUAAACCGACACAGGUGGUCAGGUAGAGAAUACUAAGGAGUUCGAGAGAACUGUGGUUAAGGAAUUCGGCAAAAUGCCCCCGUAACUUUGGAAGAAGGGGGACCGAUGUUGGUGAGCACUUUUUCGGUGUGAGCUGGUGUUGGUCGCAGAGACCAGAGAGAAGCGACUGUUUACCAAAAACACAGGUCCGUGCGAAGACGUAAGUCGAUGUAUACGGACUGACGCCUGCCCGGUGCUGGAAGGUUAAGAGGACUGGUUAGUGGCCCUUGUGGCUGCGAAGCUGAGAAUUUAAGCCCCAGUAAACGGCGGUGGUAACUAUAACCAUCCUAAGGUAGCGAAAUUCCUUGUCGGGUAAGUUCCGACCUGCACGAAUGGCGUAACGACUUCUCUGCUGUCUCAACCACAGGCCCGGUGAAAUUGCACUACGAGUAAAGAUGCUCGUUACGCGCGGCAGGACGAAAAGACCCCGGGACCUUCACUAUAGCUUGGUAUUGGUGUUUGGUUCGGUUUGUGUAGGAUAGGUGGGAGACUGUGAAGCCGUCACGCUAGUGGUGGUGGAGUCGUUGUUGAAAUACCACUCUGAUCGGAUUGAGCAUCUAACCUUGGCCCAUGAUCUGGGUUGGGGACAGUGCCUGGUGGGUAGUUUAACUGGGGCGGUUGCCUCCCAAAAUGUAACGGAGGCGCCCAAAGGUUCCCUCAGCCUGGUUGGCAAUCAGGUGUCGAGUGCAAGUGCACAAGGGAGCUUGACUGUGAGACUGACAGGUCGAGCAGGGACGAAAGUCGGGACUAGUGAUCCGGCAGUGGCUUGUGGAAGCGCUGUCGCUCAACGGAUAAAAGGUACCUCGGGGAUAACAGGCUGAUCUUGCCCAAGAGUCCAUAUCGACGGCAUGGUUUGGCACCUCGAUGUCGGCUCGUCGCAUCCUGGGGCUGGAGUAGGUCCCAAGGGUUGGGCUGUUCGCCCAUUAAAGCGGUACGCGAGCUGGGUUUAGAACGUCGUGAGACAGUUCGGUCCCUAUCCUCUGUAGCCGUAGGAGAUUUGAAGAAGGCUGUCCCUAGUACGAGAGGACCGGGAUGGACGAAGCUCUGGUGUGCCAGUUGUUCCGCCAGGAGCAUGGCUGGUUGGCCACCUUCGGAAAGGAUAAGCGCUGAAAGCAUCUAAGCGCGAAACCUGUUCUGAGAUGAGAUCUCCCACUGGAUAACCAGGUAAGGCCCGUGGAAGACCACCACGUUGAUAGGCCGGAUGUGUAAGCGCAGUAAUGUGCUCAGCAGACCGGUACUAAUCGGCAGAUCGGAAGAGCACA
rnacentral:rRNA from 1 species